GGGCAGACACACUGAAGUCGCUAGACAUUUGAGGAACACAUCCGGGGAAGAAGACACAGGUGGCUGGUCAUGGAGAGCCCGCUGGGGGAAGAGCACACAGACAGGCACCGGCAGGCCAUUGACCAGCGGGACAAGGUGGGCUCAAUGUCAUCACAAGGGUGCUUAAGAGGGAAAGAGGAAGCCAUGAGGGUCAGAGUCAAAGGAAGACUUGAAGAUACUACACUGCGGACUUUAAAGAUGAAGGAAGGGGCGAAAACCAAGAAUGUGGGAAGCCUCUAGAAGCUAGAGAAGGCAAGGAAACAAAUUUUCCACUAGAGCCUCCAGAAGGAACACAGCCCUGCUGACCCACUGUAAUGUCUGACCUCUAGAUGUGUAAGGGUAGUAAGACUGAAAGUCUCAGAAAGGCACUGUUAAAUUCUUAUUCCUCAACUAUGCAACUCAAAACUGGGGUCCUCAGCAGUGAGCGAGGGGUGAGAGAAGACACUGUAUAAACAUGGCACAUCCUCCUGGAAAGUCAACUUUACUCAAAGAACCGCUGCAUUUAUUGAAGUCAUGAGCCCGUAGUCUAUCUUUAGACUCCUGAUGUAAUUUCUGAAUCACCAACCAUUUCUGAGACCACAAGAUAUUUAAAAAUAAGAUAAGAAAUAUUGACUGAGACUCCCUGAAGCCUGCAAGGGAAACGAAGAUACCGCGGCAGAGGUUUACAGUGGAAUUUCUCUCCUGUAGUUCGUGCACAUUGAAAAUGACAUGAUCUAUCCCAAGGAAUAGCUUAAGACCUGAUCCACUUAAACAGCUCCAAGUGAUUUAUCAUAAAUGUGCUUAUUUGGAAGGUUUAGCAGUAACCGCUUAUGGGAGGUGGUGGGGUUAACUACCAAAAUUGUACAUAACUUGGAUCCUGUGUAUGGCAAUUAAUCAAGAAAUUAUAUUCUUUGACUUUCUAACAACCCACACAGAGUGCUACAUCUGUGGCAUGUUUAAAGAGAGAGCGAGGGAUGAAAUAUUUCUUCUAAUAAAAUGCUAAUGGCUUUGUUUUGGAGAAAAAAUAUUGGAUUAUUGUGGUGUUAGAUUUAUCUGUAUGAGGAUUUCUCGAGUCACAGUCAGUAAGUACUUCUGACAGAAAACCAGCUAUGUCCUGAAUACAAUAUCCCAGUCUUCUAAAUGACUUCAGGAUUAUGGAGAGGCCCCUUUAUAAUACUGAAGAAAGAACACAGGAAUAAAUGGUGUGAUAGAGAACUGUAGCAGUCGAAGUUAUUACUGUGAGCAUUUGUUAAAUGUUCAAGAGUAUUUAUUUAACCCAAAGCACAUUGGAAUAUGUUAAUUAAGACAGGUGAGGCAUCCCAUUGAUUUGUGGUGUCUCAUGGGCAUAACUUGCACCCACUUAGUUGCUCUAGUCCUUAGGUUUUCAAGAUUUUGCGGGGAUGCCUACUGUGGUUAGGAACCCAGAGCUCACUCCUUGGAGGGUUAGUUUCACAAAUUCAAUAUCUGAAAACCUAAAAGUACCAUCAUCUAAAAAGAAAAAUUUGGGGCAACAAAAGCGCCAAAGUAUAAUGUCAUUUUCAUUCCUAUGAUCCUUUGUGAUGUGGUUCAAAUGGCUUAUUUUAAUAUUUCACUUUUCAAUCAGUAGCUUUUUAAAAAUGACAAUUUCACAAAUGCUUAUGGAGCAUCUACUUUGUGCCUACACUGGCCAAGAGACAGAAAGAUGGAAUAAUACCUGACUUCUACCUUUUAAGAUCUCAUAGUGCAGCAAAACAGAGAGCUGUAGCAAAUAUUUGUAAUGUGAAAAGAGCAACACUCAUGAAACAGUCCAGUGCUGGACACUUACUGUAGUAGAGACACUGCAUCAAUGAUUCUCUUUUACAGGCAAGGGAACUGAAGCUUGUAGAGAGGUUAGAUCACACAGUUAACAAGAAGAGGGACAAGCAUUUACCGGAAGCCCUGUGUGGUUCUGGAUACUCACAUAGUGCUUGCCAGACGCCCGGCAUUGUGUUUAGGGCUUUACACUCAUGACCUCACUCGGUCCUCAUGACAACCCUAUGCAGGGGAUACUAUAAUUAUCCCCAUUUCACAGAUGAGCAAACUGAGCUCUGAGAAGGAGCAACUUGACCAAGGUCAUGUAGGUAAUGUCAGAGCAGCAAUUUGAAUAUAGGCUCUUGACAACUAAACUUUACUGCUGUGAGAUGUAGAGGCAUUUCUGCCUGGAGCUGCGGGAAGGUACAGAGAUUAGGGCAAAUAAAUUAUAAGAAGAUUAGAAAUAUGGUCUUGAUAAGGACUUUGAAGAUAAUGCUUAUAUCAGACUUCCUUCUGAUCUGAGUCAAUUGAAGGAUGUAUUUUUGAACCUUUCAGAAAUCUCUCUAUAAGUUAUAGAUCUGAAUUUUAGUGAGAAUCUAUUCCAUUCCUCGGAGUGCGAAAAUCCAACACAAUGUCUGGGAAUUCAGACUUAUAAAAAUCAUACAGAAGUAAUUCUUAAAAAAUCUUUUAUUUUGAAGUAAUUGUAGGCUCAUAAGAGGUUGUAAAAAUAAGAGAGUUAUAGUAUGCCCUUCACCCAGCUUCCUCCAAAGUUAACGUUUUAUAUAACCAUAGUACAUAUCAAAAGUGGGAAAUAGACUUUGACAAAAUACUAUUCAUUAGACCACAGAUCAUAUGGGGAUUUCAUUAGUUUUUAGAUGCACUCUAUUGUUUUGUAUAGUUCUUUUCCAUUUUAUCACCUGUAUAGAUUUGUGUAACCACCAAGAAGUAAUUUGUUUUAAGCUGGCAUAAAGAAAAAAUAAAAUAAAUUGUUUUGAACAAUCUA
rnacentral:lncRNA from 1 species